CUCUGUCUACACAGCUCUAAAACCACCCAGCGAGCUUGUCCAGAGUCAAAGAAUCAACUAUCUGCCUCACUAGUAAUUCUGUCCUCAGGACUGUUUUAUGGGGAUCCCACUGAAAAUGAUGGCAGACAUUUUGGGGCAAGAUAGGACUUUGGGGCUGCUCCACCACUUCUGCUUGGUGUAGUGGAAAGAGCGCUGGACCCAGGCAGACGUAAGUUCAAAUCCCGUCAAUGGCCACCCACCAGCUGUCCAACCACAGACGACGUGCUCCCAUUCUUCCAGUGUCCUUUUUUGUACCUGUAAGAUGGGGAAUCAUUUCUACUACCCGUAAGAUGAGGUAUGCGGUAAGAAUUAAACAGCCUAUAUAAAAACACAGUGUAGGUCCUGAUGCAUAGAAGCAACGGAUAAUCGUUACUUUCUAUCCACUUACAGAAGAAAACGAAGCUGGAGAGGUUAAGGGAAUUGCUCAAAGUAACAGCUAGUAAACGGCAGAACUGAGACUUCAUUUAUUUUACAAACAUUAUUGAACACCUACUAUAUGCCAGUGCCUCAGGCAUAGGAAAGUGGAUAAGUCCUAAUUCUAGUUCUCGAAAUGUUCACAGUAGAGUGCCAGAGCCUGAAACGCAAAUAAUCAAUUACAGUCUAGCAUGAUGUGAAAAGCAAGACGUAUUUAGGGAAUGUCCUAAAGCCAGGGGUGAGCCCAGGUAUCGACACAGGAAGCGAGUCUUAAGAAGAGGACCCUUCAGAGGAAGCAGCCACGGAGUUCAAGCUGGAAUAUACAUCAGCAGGUGGACGCUGCAGCCAAGAGGGGAUUCGAGGGACAGGCCAUGAACCACAAGGAAAGACUGAAAAAGUGUCACAGACCAGCAGCUAUGGAGACUUGAUGAUCAAACGUUAUGUGGAUCGUGGACGGGAUUCUGGAACAGAAAAAGAAAGGGUAUUACUGAAAUCUAAAUAAAGUCUGGAGGUGCAAAAUGAAGGAGCUGCCUUUCUUAAGCAUCUCUUCCCCAGGCUAGUAUUCCAGGCUCUACGUGUGCAACGGUCACCCCUAAAAGGUGUGCCCACCUUCAUUCUUUUUUUUCCAUCCCUUCCCCAACCACCGCCAGCUCCUCGGGUCAGACAGCUCAACCGGAGGCUACAGAAUGUUCAGGAAGGGGCCAGCCUUGGCUUUGCAUUUUCAGGCUUCCUCACACGACAGCUCAAAUCAGACCCCCUACCCCAGCCCCCUUACCGGCAGGAGGGGAAAUAUGAAAUCUCAGCAGGCAAGGAGGUUUUUUAUGCUUCUGUAAAUCAUUAAAGUGGCCAAUAUUUCCCUUUGCUGCACUUCUCCCACCUCACAAUAUUUUUUUUUCCUGCAGUGAAAUCCAUUCGCCCAGCCUGGAAAUGUGGUCACUUUAUAGAAAAUCUUUAGCUUGUACCAGCACAAAUGGAUGGGUCUUAUUUCCUGUCUACAGUUCAUGGUGUUGCAAAGGCAUUGCCAAAAACUAUUGACUGAGACAUAAAAGCAAGAAAUGGAUGGAAAUGAACGUGGGCACGUUCGCGUGUACAUUUACAAACACACAGAGACGAACGUGAUCAAGUCUACACUCAAAGGAAGAGAUUCCCUGAAGGGACGUCCUAAUUCAUAACUCAGCCCCCUACCCUGCCCAUGUUCAGAAUCUAUCUCACACUCUGGAGGAGGGAGAAGAGGGUAGGACCAGGCAAUGUGGUUUAGAUACUGGGGAAGGAACUCGGUCCCCGGUAAGUCUCCCUGAUCCCUGUGCCAUGAUGCUGGAAAUAACACCCUUAACGAUCCAUCCAUCUUGUAAUUUCAGAA